GAACGCUGGCGGCAGGCUUAACACAUGCAAGUCGAGCGGUAACAGGGGGUGCUUGCACCUCGCUGACGAGCGGCGGACGGGUGAGUAAUGCUUAGGAAUCUGCCCAGUAGUGGGGGAUAGCCCGGGGAAACCCGGAUUAAUACCGCAUACGUCCUACGGGAGAAAGCAGGGGAUCUUCGGACCUUGCGCUAUUGGAUGAGCCUAAGUCGGAUUAGCUAGUUGGUGGGGUAAAGGCCUACCAAGGCCACGAUCCGUAGCUGGUUUGAGAGGAUGAUCAGCCACAUCGGGACUGAGACACGGCCCGAACUCCUACGGGAGGCAGCAGUGGGGAAUAUUGGACAAUGGGGGCAACCCUGACCCAGCCAUGCCGCGUGUGUGAAGAAGGCUUUCGGGUUGUAAAGCACUUUCAGUGAGGAGGAAAACCUGAUGGUUAAUAUCCAUGAGGCUUGACGUUACUCACAGAAGAAGCACCGGCUAACUCCGUGCCAGCAGCCGCGGUAAUACGGAGGGUGCGAGCGUUAAUCGGAAUUACUGGGCGUAAAGCGCGCGUAGGUGGUUUGGUAAGCGAGAUGUGAAAG
rnacentral:rRNA from 1 species